rfam:Triticum aestivum genome assembly, contig: Triticum_aestivum_CS42_TGACv1_scaffold_221054_3B
CAACUACACCCUCUGUCCUAAAUUUCUUGUCUUAGAUUUGUCUAGAUAUAGAUGUAUCUAAUACUAAAAUGUGACUUGAUACAUCCGUAUUUAGACAAAUCUAAGACAAGAAUUUUGGGACGGAGGGAGUACUUU